UAUACAGCAACUGUAAAAGUAUAAAUAAUAACAAAUUACAAAAGAAAGACAAAUAAUAGUUAUAAAAUUUGUUCGUCCUGUGUGUGUGUGUGUGUGGAUUUCCCUGUUAUUACCUUACCUGUAAUUAAGGCCAUCAGGUGGUGUCAACAGUGUGCUGGGUGUCCUCUUAGUUGGACAGAAGAAAAAAAAAUCGCAAUAUAUAUAUUUAAAAAAAAACAACAACGAACGGGAUAAAUCUGUUGAAACCGCUUUUUGAAAACUGAUCAAAAUGUCGCUGAUAGAUGAUUCCCAGCAUGCGGUGGAGAGUCUUCGAAGUAUUGAAUCUAAACUUCAUUCCCAAGGUAUCACCAAUAUGAACGAUGACCUGACAUCAAUGAUUUGCAUGCUUGGAAGCCCUGUAUUUCAACAGAUUAUCAAUCUAUUAGAUUCCGUUGAUGAAUUAACACAAGUAUUAGAGACUCAACCAAUCCCUGAUGAUUGCUACAGCUUCACCAAAACUGGUGAUUUGGUUCUAAAUCUUAAUGACAAAGCUAUAAGCAGUCUCAAAUGCAAUACUACACUGGAACUACCAGAUAGUUCACACCCAACUGGAACUAUCAUCACCGAAGAAUACAAACAGGAAUUUCAGAAAGCCAUUGAAUCAGCAGCCAAAGGAAGAUCCCUUGUUCAUAUUAAAUUAUACAAACCAGAGAAUACUGGAUUAGGAUUUGGAGUAGUUGGUAUGAAAGAUCCUGGCAAAGAUGAUUCAGUAAUUUAUAUCAAUGACAUACAACCUGGAAGUGUUGCAGCAAGAGAUGGAAGGCUACAAAAAGGAGAUCAGAUUUUGGCCAUUGAUGGUCAGCCAUUAGACUUCUCACACAAAGCUGCCAUACAGCUUUUGAAGAGCGCACGUGGCCCGGUUGAACUGGUGGUUGCACGGAGCCCUCCAUUAGAGAGCAGUGCUGCUUCGAACAACACAGUCAGCACUGCCCAGGCUGCUCCUGCAUCACCAGUCGACAAAAGACAAACACCACCACAACGUGAUUCACCAGACGUUUUGGAUCAGACUCUCACACAAAGCAGACAGGAAACUUUGAAAUUAUCUAAUGAGAACAACACUACAGUUCUUCCUUCACAACAUCGCAAAAGUUCUAACGAGAUGUUAAACACAGAUUGGACUCAAAUUGAGGUCAUAGAUUUGGUUAACGAUGGCACUGGAUUGGGGUUCGGAAUCUUUGGGGGCAAGAGCACUGGUGUUGUGGUUAAAACCAUUUUACCAGGUGGUGUCGCAGACAACGACACCCGGUUACGCAGUGGGGACCACAUAUUACAAAUAGGAGAUUUCAAUGUGCGCGGUAUGAGUUCAGAGCAGGUGGCAUCUGUACUUCGCCAGUCUGGCAGUAAUGUCCGGCUGAUAGUUGCACGGGCCAUCAAUGAACCAACACUGCAGAUCAACCCCUCUGCUCCCAUCAUUGCUACUGUGCAGCUAGAUGAGCGUUUGCAACAAAUAAAUUCAGCCCUCUCUUCGGCUGAAGAUCUUGACAUGACAAAAAUAAUGAAGAACCAACACCAGAUUCAGGAGAGGUUGAUUGCUGAAUCCCAAAUGGAGAUGACCCAGGAAUCCGACUCUGAUCUUCAAGGGUUUCUUGAAACUGUUCAAGUACAUGAGGCUCGUGGGGAUGCAAAGUUCCUGCUCCCAGCCUCCUUCCCCCUUUCUCAGCCACCAACCAUUGAAAAUGUAAACGAAAGUCCAGAGAUGGAAAUGUUUGACGUGCAACUUGUGAAGGACACCCGCGGUCUGGGUAUUACUAUUGUCGGAUACGUUGCAGGUGGAGGUGCUCCAGAUGAACUGUCAGGAAUAUAUGUUCAAAGUAUAGCUGAAGGCAGUGCUGCCCACCUUGAUGGAAGAACCCAAGUCAAUGAUCAAAUUAUUGAGGUUGAUGGGAAAUCUCUGAACGGCUUUUCGAACAGUGAUGCCGUGAAACUUUUACAGCAGACAGAUCGCACUGUUAACUUAAAACUCAUUCGUUAUAAGCAUGGAACCAAGUAUGAACUACUGCAGCAAUAUCUUGCUCAAGUAAAAAAUAAAGUCAAUCUUGCUUCUUCUGCACCAGCUCCACAUUCUCCUUCAAAUAUGGCUGUGAACCUUGUGUCUGAUGGUGCUGAAAAACAGCUAGACAUUAACCAGAUAGAUCUUUAUGCCGCUGAUCCUGACUAUAGUGGUGAUUUGUUGCCUGGAGUGGAGGCGGCAAUUAAAGCAACCUGGGAACCAAUUGUUGGCAAUGAUUUUGAAGUUGUGGUUGCUCAGCUAUCUAAAUUUCGUGAAGGAGGAGGUCUUGGUAUCAGCUUAGAAGGUACCGUAGACGUGGAGAAUGGUGUAGAGAUGCGACCGCAUCAUUUUAUCCGAUCAAUACUUCCAGCUGGUCCUGUCGGUUGUAAUGGUCAACUCAUCAGUGGGGAUGAGCUCCUUGAGGUUAAUGGUAAACGCCUCCUGGGAUUGAAUCAUAAAGAGGUUGUGAGUAUAUUAAAAGAGCUGCCGCAACAUGUUCGGUUGGUCUGCGCUCGUCCAAAGAAAAGUAAAUUAGAAAACUUUGCCAGCAAAGAACAAGAUGUCUUUCAAAGCCCUUCACUACUCAAUUCUGGAGUGAUUCCCAACUCACCAUGUACAGACCGGCUCGUAAAAGCUAAAUCAGAAGUUACAUUAACAUCACAAGAAUGGACUGCUGAGAAGAACCUCCUAAAUCGGUCACGAUCCCUUGAGCCCUUAACGGGGCUUGCUAUGUGGAGUAGUGAACCUGUUGUUAUAGAAUUGAAGAAGCUUGACAAAGGCCUUGGAUUUAGCAUUCUUGAUUAUCAGGACCCCGUAAACCCUGCUGAGACAGUAAUUGUGAUCAAAAGUCUUGUCCCUGGUGGUGUGGCACAACUGGACGGGCGGUUGUUACCAGGUGACAGGUUAGUUUUUGUUAAUGACGUCAAUUUGGAACAUGCUACUUUGGAUGAUGCUGUCCAGGCACUGAAAGGGGCUCCAAGAGGAACUGUUGUCAUCGGUGUAGCAAAGCCAUUGCCGUUGUCGGCCAAUAUACCCCCAGCAGAUCAGGAUAUCCUGUAUUUAAAUGCACCACUUGUUCCACUGAGUUCUGCACAUGCUAUUUCCAACUCUGCAGUCCCUUCAUUAUCAUCAUCCUUAUCAUCACCAUUAGCAUCACCACGUGCAUCACCUACACUACCACCACCAUCACUAUAUACUGCUGCUGCUAGUACUGCUGCUGCUACUACUACUACUACUUCUACUACUACCAUUACUGAGGCUACUGUUGAUGUUGAUGUUGAUAUUGAUGCUGAUGUUGAUGUUGAUGCUUCUGUUACUUCUGAGCAGCCAGUUCUGCUAGCUGCUGCUGCUGCUGCUCCUACUUUUGAACCAACUGCUAGCUUAGAAGAGAAUUAUCAGGUGGUCAACACUUUGGAAUUUAGAGAAGAAAGUAAUGUAAUUGCAGAGUUUCCAGACAAAACUAAAUCAGUCUCAUUACAAGAGCCUCUGUACUCAUAUCCAGAACUGAGUCCUGAUCUGCUAACUCAACCUUUGAAACCAGCUCUCCCUCCAAAGCCUACUGAUAUUAAGUUGGGAACUGCCAAAACACAGAACUUGAUCCGCGAGGACAGCUUCUAUGAGGACGAAGACUUAAUAACAGCUACGGUGGUAAAAUCAAACUUGAAAUCACCACUCAUUGAAUCUGAGGUGGAAUCACAUGAAACUGAUUUAAGCUUAUCGUCUAAACACUCUGAAGAUGAGUCUCCCGAUGGCAUUUCUGAGGCUCAAGAGGCUUCUUUAGCAUUAAAUCUCAUUGAUAAUGAGGAGAAAGCUUCCAUAGAAACAGACAGCUUUCCUUUGUCCCAAUUCGGUGGUGUUGUUUCUGAGUCUAUUCACAGCAUUGAUGUUGCACAGGAAUUAUGCAAAACAAAGAGUGAGAUUCCACCAGCCUUACCAUCGACUCCUCCACCCUUGACACCCCCUCCUUCCCCUCCCUUGAGUACUCUUGAGAACACUGAAGACCAGAUCACACUCGAAGAUAUGAAGGUAAAUCUAAAAGCUCAUAUUGGCCACAAAAAGUCUGAAAGUGUGGAUAGUUCAUCAUCCGAUCAUUUCACCACAAGUGACCUUAAAGCAUUUUCAUCACCAUCAUCCACACCACGCACAAUGUCUCCAAGAAUGUCACCGCUUCCAUCACCAAUUUCUUUACGAUCAUUAAGUGGCUCUGUCGACUCCUUACCUGCUUCACUGGAGAAAAACAUCAAAGUUCAGAAAGGACAGCAGCAUUUAGGUAUUACUGUAGAUGCUGUAGAUAAAGGACUAAAUGGUUGUGUGGUGAAAUCAAUAUCACCAGAUGGCGCUGUCAGUAAAGACGGACGUAUUGCCGUUGGUGACUAUAUUGUGUCCAUCAACAAUGAAAACAUGCGGAGGGUCACCAAUGCUCAGUCACGAGCAAUUCUUCGGCGUGCGUCACUACUUGGGAUGGAUAUAAGUAUAAACUACAUCAAUGCUUCUGAUGCAAGUAACUACAAAAUGACUGCUGAAAGUCGGUCAAAACAGGAACCCAGCCCCACACAUCAUUCUGCAAUGCCUUCACCUAAGAUCUUUCCAAAACAUUUCCGUUCCAAUUUAUCUCCAAUACACAUGUUUGGUCACGGCAGUACGGAGGGGCUUCGUUCUGCUUACACAUCACCAUCACACAGUCCACUUCAUCUGGGCGAAGUAAAACCCGCAAGUGCUCCCACAUCUCCAAUUGUACCCAUCACCUCUAAAGGACAAGGACGCCAGAUGACACUAUCGUGUGAUGGCUCUCCAGCCACUGGGGACCACACAUGGAGGGCGCCACGUGAAGUUACUCUUGAGCGAGAACCUGGCAAGAGUUUAGGCAUCAGCAUUGUGGGUGGAAGAAUCAAUGUGCCUCAUGCUUCACCUGAACAAAUAAUGUCAGGUAUUUUCAUAAAGCUUGUAAUGAAAGAUAGCCCUGCUGGCAGGGAGGGCUCGCUUCAAACUGGUGAUAGAAUAUUAGAGGUGAAUGGAAAAGAUCUACGUGAUGCUUCUCAUGAUGAAGCUGUUGAAAUUAUCAGGAAUGCAACGAGUCCAGUUCAUUUCUUAGUCCAAAGUUUAACAGAUACAUCAUGUAUAAAAUACAUGCGUGUCAAUUUGAAUAAAAAGCCUUUAGAUGUGGAAGACCGCCGUGGAGUGUCACCCACUCCUAAGAACACAGACUCCUCUUCACAAAUGACUGCCAAGUCACUCACUGAGCAUCGACACACUUCGGUUAUAGACGGGCACUUACGUCAAGUCUCACAUUUAAAUCUGCAGGAUUCUAAACUUGAAGAUGGAGUUUUUGAUGAAGAGGAAGAACAAGAGGAUGAAUACGGUUAUACGUUAAAAAAGCUUCAGAACAAAUAUAUUGAUUUAACAGGAGAAAUCUUUUUGGUGGAUUUGAACCGAGGCAAUAAUGGGUUAGGCAUCAGCUUAGCUGGCAAUAAGGACCGAAGCACAAUGAGUGUCUAUGUUGCUGGUGUCCAGCCUGGAAGUGCCGCUUUCAAUGAUGGUCGCAUAAGAGUUGGAGACGAGCUCUUAGAGGUGAACGGACAAGUUCUCUAUGGCAGGAGUCACUUAAACGCUUCAGCUAUCAUUAAAGGGUUAACGCAACCUGUACUGAAAGUGGUCUUAUUAAGGUAUGAAAACUACCUUGACCAUAUGGCUGUGAAGCCUUUGAAACUUUUACCCACCACAACAGUUGAAGAUCAGAAUGAAGAUCAUCAUUCAAGCCAGGAAUCUCGACCGCCAUCAUCUAUUGAAAUCAGGGUACCAAAUGUACCGAGUGAAUAUGCCUCCCCUGUAUUACAAGAUGCAAUCCAAGUCAUUGUGUUGAACAAGGGAUUGGCUGGUUUGGGAUUUACAAUUAUGGAAGGCAAAACAAAACCAGGUAUAUUUGUGAAGUCCAUAGCACCAAGUGGUCCUGCCUCUCAGGAUGGCCAGUUGAGUGUAGGAGAUCAGAUCUUGGAGAUAGACAGACAUUCAGUGGAGAAUGUUGAUUACCACAAGGCAAUGGAGAUUUUGAGAAAAACACAAGGAAAAGUAAAAUUAAAAUUCAUCCGUAAAGCAACAUUUGGAGGUCACAGAAACGAUGUUAUAUCAAUUGGUGGUGCAUGUGGUGAUUCCAGCACUGAUCCACGGGCUUCUUCCCCUAAAACAACAGGGCCACCAUCCGAUCCCUUAACGUGUCCCGUUGUUCCUGGAGAAGAAACUUAUAUUGAAAUUGACAAAGGCUAUUGUGGUCUUGGUCUAAGUAUUGUUGGUGGUUCCGAUACUCUGUUGGGCUCAAUUAUCAUUCAUGAAGUAUAUGUAGAUGGUGCAGCACAUAAAGAUGGAAGGUUAAUGGCUGGGGAUCAAAUACUCGAAGUUAAUGACGAAGACCUUAAAGACGCAACUCAUGAGAGAGCAAUUCAAGUUCUCCGCCAGACUCCGACACUUGUGAAGCUAUUAAUCUAUCGAGAUAACCAACUGACAAAAGAAGAAGAUAUUUAUGACAUCUUCAGUAUCGAAUUAGUGAAAAAACCUGGUAAAGGACUUGGCCUCAGUAUUGUUGGCAAAAGAAAUGAUGUGGGUGUAUAUAUAUCAGACAUUGUCCGUGGUGGUGUGGCUGAAGCAGAUGGCCGUUUGAUGCAAGGUGAUCAAAUUUUAAGUGUAAACGGAGAAGAUAUGCGCCAAGCAACGCAGGACCAUGCAGCUGCUGUGCUGAAAACACUUAUGGGGAAAGUUGUUUUAACAAUCGGACGCUUAAAAGCAGGUUCUCGGACAUCUUCAACGCGCAAUUCAGGUACUGGGGGAAUGCGCAAAUCUGAGUCUCACACAAGCGGUGGCAAGUCAAAAGGCAAACACAGCAGAGGUGGUCUCCCCUCUUCUAAAAGCUACUAAUAAUGGGUUAUAUCUUGCUGCUCUAACAAAUUCAACUUGUUAUUUCCCAAUGAUAUAUAUAUAUAUAUAUAUAUUCCACCCCAAAUCCUUUCUCUCAUCUACAAUUUUCUAUCUGAGAUAAGACAUUACUAAUGUCAUUUAUAUGUAAAUAAUAAUAGUAACGAUAAUGACGUAAAACAAAAAAAUUGUUUCCAAUUAAAAAAAAAUUUCAAAAAAUCAAAAAUCCCAAAACAAAAAAGAAUAAGCGAGUCCAGAAUCAUUCUUCUUCCCAUCUGCCACCACCCACCCACCCACAUGAAAUUCUAGAGUUUCCUGCAGUUCUGUAUAAUAAUAAUAAUAAUAAUAAUAGUAAUAGCUACAAUUAAAAACAAAAUUAAAAUAAGCUUGCAAUGAAAGUUUCGACUCAUCUCACUUAGUACAUUUUUUUUGGUUCUUUUCAUUAUUGAAACUACAAAAGAAAUUGUCCCAACUUACAAAUCAUAAAUAUUAAAUAAUUAUCACAAGCCACUGUCCUCCAUGUUACCUUUACCCAACCCAUCCACCCAUCCACCCCUGCCUUUCCUAAAGUGCACCCCUUAAAACAUGUACAAUCCUGGUAUCAUACAAAUCAUAGAGCAGCCAGAUUCCUUUACAAAAGUAAAUAAGUAAAGCAAAAAUAAGCUUUUCUAGUGAGCUGGAAUAGUUGCUAAGAAAUGAUAUUACACCAUAUUACCAACAUUCAGUGGCUUUACAAAAGGAAAUGAUUGGCUGUUUUUUCUAUAUAAAUGAUUUCCUGUCAUUUUUUAUGGUCUGUGGGGGACAACAAGAACAACUAUAAAAAUGAAAAAAAAAAAAAUCAAAAAAUUCAGAUUGGAAAAAAAUAUAUACAUUAAAUGAAAGAAAAAAAUAUAUAUAUAUAUGAAGAAGAAGAAUUAAA
rnacentral:misc_RNA from 1 species